ACGCUGGCGGCGUGCCUAAUACAUGCAAGUAGAACGCUGAAGAGAGGAGCUUGCUCUUCUUGAAUGAGUUGCGAACGGGUGAGUAACGCGUAGGUAACCUGCCUUGUAGCGGGGGAUAACUAUUGGAAACGAUAGCUAAUACCGCAUAACAAUGGGUGACACAUGUCAUUUAUUUGAAAGGGGCAAUUGCUCCACUACAAGGUGGACCUGCGUUGUAUUAGCUAGUAGGUGAGGUAACGGCUCACCUAGGCGACAAUACAUAGCCGACCUGAGAGGGUGAUCGGCCACACUGGGACUGAGACACGGCCCAGACUCCUACGGGAGGCAGCAGUAGGGAAUCUUCGGCAAUGGGGGCAACCCUGACCGAGCAACGCCGCGUGAGUGAAGAAGGUUUUCGGAUCGUAAAGCUCUGUUGUAAGUCAAGAACGAGUGUGAGAGUGGAAAGUUCACACUGUGACGGUAGCUUACCAGAAAGGGACGGCUAACUACGUGCCAGCAGCCGCGGUAAUACGUAGGUCCCGAGCGUUGUCCGGAUUUAUUGGGCGUAAAGCGAGCGCAGGCGGUUUGAUAAGUCUGAAGUUAAAGGCUGUGGCUCAACCAUAGUUCGCUUUGGAAACUGUCAAACUUGAGUGCAGAAGGGGAGAGUGGAAUUCCAUGUGUAGCGGUGAAAUGCGUAGAUAUAUGGAGGAACACCGGUGGCGAAAGCGGCUCUCUGGUCUGUAACUGACGCUGAGGCUCGAAAGCGUGGGGAGCGAACAGGAUUAGAUACCCUGGUAGUCCACGCCGUAAACGAUGAGUGCUAGGUGUUGGAUCCUUUCCGGGAUUCAGUGCCGCAGCUAACGCAUUAAGCACUCCGCCUGGGGAGUACGACCGCAAGGUUGAAACUCAAAGGAAUUGACGGGGGCCCGCAC
rnacentral:rRNA from 1 species